UACGUAGGUGGCAAGCGUUGUCCGGAUUUACUGGGCGUAAAGGGAGCGUAGGCGGAUUUUUAAGUGAGAUGUGAAAUACCCGGGCUCAACUUGGGUGCUGCAUUUCAAACUGGAAGUCUAGAGUGCAGGAGAGGAGAAUGGAAUUCCUAGUGUAGCGGUGAAAUGCGUAGAGAUUAGGAAGAACACCAGUGGCGAAGGCGAUUCUCUGGACUGUAACUGACGCUGAGGCUCGAAAGCGUGGGGAGCAAACAGGAUUAGAUACCCCU
rnacentral:rRNA from 1 species